CAGUAGGGGGCAAGCGUUGUUCGGAAUUACUGGGCUAAAGGGCGCGUAGGCGGCCUUCUAAGUCGGACGUGAAAUCCCCGGGCUCAACCCGGGAACUGCGUCCGAGACUGGAAGGCUCGAAUCCGGGAGAGGGAUGUGGAAUUCCAGGUGUAGCGGUGAAAUACGUAGAUAUCUGGAGGAACACCGGUGGCGAAGGCGGCAUCCUGGACCGGUAUUGACGCUGAGGCGCGAAAGCCAGGGGAGCAAACGGGAUUAGAUACCCCGGUAGUCCUGGCCCUAAACGAUGAAUGCUUGGUGUGGCGGGUAUCGAUCCCUGCCGUGCCGAAGCUAACGCAUUAAGCAUUCCGCCUGGGGAGUACGGUCGCAAGGCUG
rnacentral:rRNA from 1 species